GCUGUUUAAGUCUGGUGUAUAAUCCUGGGGCUCAACUCCGGGUCGCACUGGAAACUGGAUGGCUUGAGUGCAGAAGAGGAGAGUGGAAUUCCACGUGUAGCGGUGAAAUGCGUAGAGAUGUGGAGGAACACCAGUGGCGAAGGCGACUCUCUGGGCUGUAACU
rnacentral:ncRNA from 1 species